UUGGGUAUACUUUCAGGGAUCAUUUCUAUAGUUCAUUACUAGAGAAGUUUCUCAGAAUGUAUAGAGAGAGAAAAAAAGAAU
ensembl:snoRNA U3 Small nucleolar RNA U3